rnacentral:rRNA from 1 species
GACGAACGCUGGCGGCGUGCCUAAUACAUGCAAGUUGAGCGCUGAAGUUUGGUACUUGUACCGACUGGAUGAGCAGCGAACGGGUGAGUAACGCGUGGGGAAUCUGCCUUUGAGCGGGGGACAACAUUUGGAAACGAAUGCUAAUACCGCAUAAAAACUUUAAACACAAGUUUUAAGUUUGAAAGAUGCAAUUGCAUCACUCAAAGAUGAUCCCGCGUUGUAUUAGCUAGUUGGUGAGGUAAAGGCUCACCAAGGCGAUGAUACAUAGCCGACCUGAGAGGGUGAUCGGCCACAUUGGGACUGAGACACGGCCCAAACGCCUACGGGAGGCAGCAGUAGGGAAUCUUCGGCAAUGGACGAAAGUCUGACCGAGCAACGCCGCGUGAGUGAAGAAGGUUUUCGGAUCGUAAAACUCUGUUGGUAGAGAAGAACGUUGGUGAGAGUGGAAAGCUCAUCAAGUGACGGUAACUACCCAGAAAGGGACGGCUAACUACGUG